rnacentral:rRNA from 1 species
UGGGGAAUUUUGGACAAUGGGGGAAACCCUGAUCCAGCCAUCCCGCGUGUGCGAUGAAGGCCUUCGGGUUGUAAAGCACUUUUGGCAGGAAAGAAACGUCGCGGGUUAAUACCCCGCGAAACUGACGGUACCUGCAGAAUAAGCACCGGCUAACUACGUGCCAGCAGCCGCGGUAAUACGUAGGGUGCAAGCGUUAAUCGGAAUUACUGGGCGUAAAGCGUGCGCAGGCGGUUCGGAAAGAAAGAUGUGAAAUCCCAGAGCUUAACUUUGGAACUGCAUUUUUAACUACCGGGCUAGAGUGUGUCAGAGGGAGGUGGAAUUCCGCGUGUAGCAGUGAAAUGCGUAGAUAUGCGGAGGAACACCGAUGGCGAAGGCAGCCUCCUGGGAUAACACUGACGCUCAUGCACGAAAGCGUGGGGAGCAAACAGGAUUAGAUACCCUGGUAGUCCACGCCCUAAACGAUGUCAACUAGCUGUUGGGGCCUUCGGGCCUUGGUAGCGCAGCUAACGCGUGAAGUUGACCGCCUGGGGAGUACGGUCGCAAGAUUAAAACUUAAAUGAA